rnacentral:rRNA from 1 species
AGUGGACGCUGGCGGUAGGCCUAACACAUGCAAGUCGAACGGCAGCACAGUAAGAGCUUGCUCUUACGGGUGGCGAGUGGCGGACGGGUGAGGAAUACAUCGGAAUCUACUUUUUCGUGGGGGAUAACGUAGGGAAACUUACGCUAAUACCGCAUACGACCUACGGGUGAAAGCAGGGGAUCUUCGGACCUUGCGCGAUUGAAUGAGCCGAUGUCGGAUUAGCUAGUUGGCGGGGUAAAGGCCCACCAAGGCGACGAUCCGUAGCUGGUCUGAGAGGAUGAUCAGCCACACUGGAACUGAGACACGGUCCAGACUCCUACGGGAGGCAGCAGUGGGGAAUAUUGGACAAUGGGCGCAAGCCUGAUCCAGCAAUACCGCGUGGGUGAAGAAGGCCUUCGGGUUGUAAAGCCCUUUUGUUGGGAAAGAAAAGCAGCAGGUUAAUACCCCGCUGUUCUGACGGUACCCAAAGAAUAAGCACCGGCUAACUUCGUG